AGAAGAAGCAGAAAUUUAAAUCAGAGGAAGUCGAUUUGUAAAAGAAAUUAUGCUCGGAGUUGGAAGAGUCCGAUGGCAGGAAUGCCCUGCAUUCAGCUCUCCCCCACUCAUCUCAUAAACUCCCUGAACCCCGCUGAUCAAAAGUCUCCUAACAUCAUUACAUGAUGCCACCUCCGUGCUUCACAGUGGGGUUGUUGUGUUCAGGGUGGAUGCACAGGGCUAGCUCUCUGCCAAACGCAAUGUUUUAACAUGAAAGCCACAAAGUUCAGUUUUGCUAAAUCCCAAUAAAAAUAAAUCUGCUUUGUUGUAAUGUCA